rnacentral:rRNA from 1 species
AUGACCUUUGAUACUGAGAAUGAGGUGCGAGAGUACUACAACAACUACGCUAAAGCAAAGGGCUUUGGUGUGACAAGAAGAAGCUCAAACAAUGAUGAUAAUGGACAGCUGAAGUAUCUUACACUUUCGUGCUCUGGGUAUGGUAAGACUCAGUCUAGAUCAAGAAAUAUGUUGAAACCAAAUCCAACAACCGGGUUAGGAUGUAAAGCUAAAAUCAAUAUUAUCCGUGGUCCUGAUGGGAAGUUUCAUCUUUCAACUGUCAUUUUAGAUCAUAAUCAUACAUUAAGUCCACACAAGUCUCGGUUAUUCAGAUGCAACCAAAAGUUAGACUUCCAUGUGAAGCGAAGGCUUGAGCUGAAUGACCGGGCUGGAAUUCGAGUAAACAAGAAUUUCAAUUCUUUUGUUGUGGAAGCAAAUGGUCAUGAGAACCUAACUUUUGGUGAGAAGAAUGCUCGCAAUUUUCUAGAGAAAACAAGAAGGUUGAAACUUGGCAAAGGUGAUGCUGAAGCGGUUCGUGAUUAUUUUGUCAAGAUGCAAUCCGACAACCCAAAUUUUUUCAGUGUCAUGGACCUUGAUGAUGAAUCUCGACUAAGGAAUGUCUUUUGGGCUGAUGCAAGAAGUAGAGCAGUGUAUGACUCUUUUCAUGAUGUCGUUAGUUUUGACACAACAUAUUUGACGAACAAAUAUGAUAUGCCUUUUGCUUGUUUUGUCGGAGUGAAUCAUCAUGGACAAUCAGUUUUGCUUGGAUGUGCUCUAUUAUCAAAUGAAGAUACCGAAACAUUUGUUUGGUUAUUUCAAGCAUGGCUCACAUGUAUGUCAAAUCUCCAUCCAAAAGCUAUUGUAACCGAUCAAGCAAAAGCAAUUUAG